rnacentral:rRNA from 1 species
CCAAUAGCGUAUAUUAAAGUUGUUGCAGUUAAAAAGCUCGUAGUUGAAUUUUGGAUUCUUCCAAUUGGUCCAUCUUUUAGAUGAGUACUGGUUGUGUGGGGGCUAUCCGCCUGGUGAUACGUAAUGUCCUUUAGUGGAUGUUGCGGGUAGUCAGGACCUUUACCUUGAAAAAAUUAGAGUGUUUACAGCAGGCUUAUGCCGGAAGACAUUAGCAUGGAAUAAUAGAAUAGGACGAAGUUGUUUUAUUUUGUUGGUUUCUAGGACAACCGUAAUGAUUAAUAGGGAUAGUUGGGGGCAUUAGUAUUCAAUUGUCAGAGGUGAAAUUCUUGGAUUUAUUGAAGACUAACUACUGCGAAAGCAUUUGCCAAGGAUGUUUUCAUUAAUCAAGAACGAAAGUUAGGGGAUCGAAGACGAUCAGAUACCGUCGUAGUCUUAACCAUAAACUAUGCCGACUAGGGAUUGGGCGAUGUUGUUUCCAUGACUCGCUCGGCACCUUAUG